GAGUCAUCUCCAGGUAAUUCUGCACCAGAGAGGUCGGCCGGGGACAGGUGUUCCUCCAUGAGUCUACAGAAAGAGGGGUGAGAGCCUGGCUUCUUUGUGAAAAGCGGGUCUUUCCUGGGGAGAACUGCAGAAACCACCCGUAAGUGGAUUAAAGGGAACCACUGGAGAAAGGCCCUGUUUUCUGAUCUGUUCAGUGAGAGCCUCCCCACCCCACAAAUGGCCAGGGUCACCAGAGGGGCGGAACUGCCCUGGUGUUCAAUACGCCAGCAGCACAGCUCUGCAGCAGCAAUCCCCUCUCCAGGCCGGAGGUGCCUUGUUCUUAGAGCUUUUUUGAAACAGUUUAAGACCUUGAAUUAGCUUUGGGCAAUAGAAGCUGCACACUGACAGUGUUUCCCUUCUUCUUCUUCAAAUUGGGCAUGAACACACAUUGGUCUAUCAUUAGACAGGGCUGAACCCGGCAGGUCUUCCCACUGUGGGAGCCUUGUGCACAAUACACUAUCCCACACGGAGGAUCUGGCAAAAGAGAGUCAGAAAGAUUACACAGCAGCUUUGGACUCUGUCCAGCUUACCAUUCUCAGCCCAUUUCUCUUCUUGAAGCAGCUGGGAGACUCUAACAAAUGCAAUUCUCUACUCUCAGUACAGAGGAGAGCGGGGACAUAUUUCCAGGACCCUCCCAUAGACAGUGGUGUGUUUGAUGUCAGAAACUCAGCAUGUCCUGUUUUAAGGUGGCAAACAUUCAGGAAUAAAUAUCAUUAUGGUUGUGACUGCCAGGAGGAUGUGGAGGGCAGGAAUAAAG
rnacentral:lncRNA from 1 species